ACCUCACUCUUCAAGUCCCAGAAAAUAAUAACUUUAUCACGUUUGUUCAUCCAGUAAAGCUUCCCACCUGCAAACACCCCUCCUAGCGAACAGUAAACUAAAUCAUAGGAGAGCUCAAUUGUUUUCCACGAUUUUGUCUUUGAACUAUAAACUUUACCAACCUUGUCAUAAUAAUCAACCACAAGCACAAACACCUUAUACUCAUUAGUCGAUUCAACCCAACCAAACCCAAAAUUGCAAACAUCAGAGUUGGGAUUAGAAAUUU
rnacentral:lncRNA from 1 species